rnacentral:rRNA from 1 species
AUUGAACGCUGGCGGCAUGCUUUACACAUGCAAGUCGAACGGUAACAGGGAGCUUGCUCCGCUGACGAGUGGCGAACGGGUGAGUAAUGCGUCGGAACGUGCCGAGUAGUGGGGGAUAACGCAUCGAAAGGUGUGCUAAUACCGCAUACGUACUGAGGUAGAAAGUGGGGGACCUUCGGGCCUCACGCUAUUCGAGCGGCCGACGUCUGAUUAGCUAGUUGGUGAGGUAAAGGCUCACCAAGGCGACGAUCAGUAGCGGGUCUGAGAGGAUGAUCCGCCACACUGGGACUGAGACACGGCCCAGACGCCUACGGGAGGCAGCAGUGGGGAAUUUUGGACAAUGGGCGCAAGCAUGAUCCAGCCAUGCCGCGUGUCUGAAGAAGGCCUUCGGGUUGUAAAGGACUUUUGUCCGGGAGCAAAUGCCUGGUGUUAAUAGCAUCGGGAGCUGAGAGUACCGGAAGAAUAAGCACCGGCUAACUACGUGCCAGCCGCCGCCGUAACAC